ACUCCUACGGGAGGCAGCAGUGGGGAAUAUUGCACAAUGGGCGCAAGCCUGAUGCAGCAACGCCGCGUGAGCGAUGAAGGCCUUCGGUCGUAAAGCUCUGUCCUCAAGGAAGAAUAAAUGACGGUACUUGAGGAGGAAGCCCGGCUAACUACGUGCCAGCAGCCGCGGUAAUACGUAGGGGGCAAGCGUUAUCCGGAAUCACUGGGGCGUAAAGGGGUGCGUAGGCGGUUUUCAAGUCAGAAGUGAAAGGCUAUGGCUCAACCAUAGUAAGCUUUUGAAACUGUUAAACUUGAGUGCAGGAGAGGAAAGUGGAAUUCCUAGUGUAGAGGUGAAAUUCGUAGAUAUUAGGAGGAACACCAGUGGCGAAGGCGACUUUCUGGACUGUAACUGACGCUGAGGCACGAAAGCGUGGGGAGCGAACAGGAUUAGAUACCCUGGUAGCACAGAG
rnacentral:rRNA from 1 species